GCGUAUAUGACAGUAGCUUGCUCCAAGUCUCUCUUUCAUUGUCAUAUAGUAUCGAUCCACUAUGGUGUGCAUUACUGUAAUGUACACUAUAGUGGAUCGAUACUAUAUGACAAUGAAAGAGAGACUUGGAGCAAGUCUAAUAUG